ACAGUGGAGAAAAGACUAUUUACCAUUUCGAGUACACUAAAUGGAUGACAGGAGACGACACACCAGAGGAUGCUAGAGAAUUCGUGCAGUUUUUGAAUGAAGUCAAAGAAUAUGCAAAUGAAUUAGGCGAAGAGAGAUCACACGUGAUUGUGCAUUGUCUGAAAGCCAAUGAGAGAAGUGGGCUGUUUUGUGCAUUGGCAAUUUUAAUGGAGAAAAUUAAACUUGAGCGACAGGUCAAUGUUUUGAAUACCCUGAGACAUUUGCGGACAAGACGGCCAACUGCAAUAACCAGCAUGGAGCAACUCAAAUUUUGCUAUGAGGCAACAAGUGCAUACAUCAAAGUGAAUAUGCUAGGAUAAAACGAAACCAAGCUGAGCAUUUUAAAAGCUUCGUCAGGUUCAGGAAAGAGAAUUUUACAUGUAAUUCUGUAUUUGUGCAAGGAUAUAAAGGCAGACUGAUGUGUGGUUAUACAUGCUAAAUAACUCUUUUUGUCACUUGUUCUGUAUCGUCUAAUAACUCUGUCUUAAGAGCAUGCUUUAUAGUUUGUAGUAAAAUUGCAAUAUAACUUUAAGGUAACACGACUGUUAGUGUCGACAUCGUAAACAUUAAACGUUGAUGUUUACUUGAAGAGUACCAAUAUUUGACGACUUGCUUUGUGACGAUACGUAAGAAUAUUUGUAAAUUUCCGUUAAUGCUUUUAAUCAAGUAUAGAAGAGAACGUUUCAGUGUUGGUUUAGUAACCUAUUGUUUUGAAUAUGUUUCAUAUAAAACAAAUUUAGAUUUCUUGUAUGUUGCACAGGAUAUGUUAAAACAGAAACGCAUUUGUUACGUUACAAGAUUUUUUUUUGUAGGAAACUUACAGAUAGAGCAAAAAGGACUCUAAAAUAUAUGAAACAUAAUAAUAGACUUAUACAUUUUUAACAUCUUGUAAAACUCUUCUGAAAUCAUUUUCUUUUAAAAAUAAACGUAAGCAUCUUUUAUUUAAGACACCUCUUACUUGUAGUUCCUUAAAUGUUUUAUGUAGGGGAAAAUAUUAUAAUGAUAAUGCGUUCCAAACAAUUUUCAUAGUUGGAGAUCACUGAGUGUCAAUACGGUGAUCACAUAUCUAAAAAUACAUAUGAAAGCACAUUUGUGUAUAUUUCGGUAUUCCUAAUAAAGUUAUUUUGCUGCAUAUUGUUAUUUGAAGAUGAAUAUUUAAGCACUCAAGAAAACUAGCUUUUUUUAAUAUUUCACAUGUUAUUUCACAUUUCCGUUUUAUUUUAUGUAACAUGAAUAUGCGGGGCAUAUUUGUGCUGUUAUCUUAAACUAACUAUCGAAUUUUCUAUUUUUACGCACAUCAAGACAUACAGUUUUUAUCUUAUUUAUCAGUUUAGCCUAACUUAAGUAAAAAUUGCAAUUGAGAAUAUAUACUAUUUUUUUAAGUUUCCUGUUCUCUGGGGUCCAUUGAUAAUUCAUUGACUGAUAUCUUGUAGAUUGUUGGAAAUUGGUUUUAUCAAGAUAUCCAAAUAGCCGCCGUCGUCAAAUUUUAAUUCAGUUUUUUUUUAAUGAAUAGUGAGAAACCUUGUAGACGGGUUUAUUGAAGGUUUUAUGGCUUUAUAUUGUUAGUAGGAUCGAGCAUAAGCAAUACACUACUGGAUGCAUAUGCCUUUAAAAGGGUCAUGGAAUUGGCCUUAAUUUUUUCAAACGUUUUUAACAGAGUUUUAACAGAUCACCAUUAACAUUCACCCAUUACUUCUUACUAUUUAAUGGGAUUUUCAUGACCAUACUUUUUAUGCCAUACAUUAAAAAUGACUUUGAUGGCCAUGAAAAGCUGCUUAAAAUAAACCAUUAAAAUAAGUUAACAGGCUCCUUACAACUCCAUGAAAAUUUUUAAUUGGCAUGAAAUUAAUGUGCCAUUAAAAAGUACCCCUUAAUUCCACAUUAAUUAGUAAGAACUAACGGGGCCAUUAAAAUUUUUAAUACUCUGUUAAUAGCAUUUAAUUAUCAAAAAAUUGAUUAAUGGUCUCAUUAAACAUGUCAUAUUCAAUUUUAGUGGGUUUAUAAUAUUUUUAUUGUAUAUCAAAUUAAGGGCCAUGAAAAAUUUGCCAUCAGAAUUAGACAUCUUAAGAUAAUCAACUUCAUAUUAAUAUUUGCCGUAUUGAUUUAAACUACGUAUUACUACACAUGUAAUCUACACAUAUAUACUGUUUUGUAAAAAGGUAGAAGAAUAUUUGUUUCUUCUUUUUUUCUCUUAUUAUUUUGUAAUGUAAACACAUGUAACAGCCUCGUUCAAACAUUUGUUAUAUUGUAUCCUUAUUCUCCCAUAUUUUCAUAUGAAAUGAGAAAAUAAAUGGAUAUUGUAUUGUAUUGAGUUGUACUGUGAAGGGUUUACAGGUACCGGUUUAAUAGAUCAAGUGACCAUGUGGGUAGUUUUAACUAUUCAACAUUAUAAUAUUGACAAACAUUCUGAGCAAGUUUUUAUCGGUACAGACAUUAGGCAUCAGGUGUAUUCAAAAAAGCAACUGCUGAUGACAAUGUCAGCGCACCAUGGGCCUCACAAUUUAGCUUUACUUCAAUACUUUGUGCUUAUGUGCAUGCACUUAAACAGCUAAGAGCAAAUUUAUGUUUGAGGGAUUGCAUCACAAGUAGUUUCUCCCAACUCCAAUCAACAGGGUGCAUGUACCACGUGACUUUUUCGCUAAUCUGGGGUGCCAAAAACAUGGCGGAUUCCUCAAUAAAGUUUACAUUUUCUUAAAUAUUUUUUUCAGCAACCUGUUCAAAUAAAAGGAAACAUAAAAAUAUACAGAAUUUCACUAUUUUUUCAAAGCCAUUUACUAUUUUAGCUACCAAACUAAAUUUUUAACAGCAUGAUUCAUGGUCAAGAAUGGGUGUUUUAAUGGUAUUUUAACAUGUAACCCAUUAAUAUUGUGAAACCUGUUAAAUAAAGUGAUGCAAGAAUUAAUGGGAUUAAUUAACGGUUUUUCCUAUUUUAAUUGUUUUAAACCAUGUUUAAUGGUAUGUGCAUCCAGUAGUGAUAUACCAUGAUUUCCGCUCCAUGACAUUUUGGUAUUUUUCCUUUUUGUAGAAAUCCAAAAUCUUGUCAGAACAUUGUUCAUUUUUGUGCCCCCCAUGAGUGGUGGGGGCAUAUAGAUUUGGUCUUGUCCGUGCGUCCGUCCGUCCGUCCAAAGUUCGUGACGCGCCUAGCUCAAAAAGUAUUUGAUAUAAAUUGAUGAAACCUUGCAUGAGUCUUUAUCAUGAUAUGAACUUGCGCACCUCCUAUUUUUCGUCUGGCUCCGCCCCCUAUUUUCAGAGUUAUGGCCCCUGAAAUAGUCAAAAAUGCACAUUUUUACCUUGUGACACGCCUAGCUCAAAAAGUAUUUGAUAUAGAUUCAUGAAACCUUGCAUGAGUCUUAAUCAUGAUAUGAACUUGCGCACCUCCUAUUUUUCAUCUGGCUCCACCCCCUAUUUUCAGAGUUAUGGCCCCUGAAAUAGUAAAAAAUGCACAUUUUCACCUUGUGACAUGCCUAGCUCAAAAAGUAUUUGAUAUAGAUUCAUGAAAUCUUUCAUGAGUCUUAAUCAUGAUAUGAACUUGCGCACCUCCUAUUUUUCGUCUGGCUCCGGCCCCUAUUUUCAGAGUUAUGGCCCCUGAAUUAGUCAAAAAUGCACAUUUUCACCUUUGACAUGCCUAGCUCAAAAAGUAUUUGAUAUAAAUUCAUGAAACCUUGGAUGAGUCUUAAUCAUGAUAUGAAUUUGCGCACCUCUUAUUUUUCAUUUGGGUCCGCCCCCUAUUUUUAGAGUUAUGGCCCCUGAAAUAGUCAAAAAUGUACAUUUUCACUUUGUGACGCACCUAGCUCAAAAAGUAUUUAAUAUAAAUGGUUGAAAACUUGCAUAAGUCUUAAUCAUGAUACAAACUUGCACACCUCUAAUUUUUUUGGCUGGCUCCACCCCCUAUUUUUAAAGUUAUGGCCCCUGAAAUAGCAAAAAAAUGCACUUUUUUUCCUAAUUAUGUGCCUAGCUCAAAAAGUAUUUGAUGUAAAUUCAGAAAACCUUGCUGGAGUCUUUAUUGUGAUGUGACCUUGCACACUUGGCAUUCUUCUUAUGAAUCUUAGCUCUCAUUACAGAGUUAUGGCCCUUGAAAUAGCCAAAAUAGUGGAUUCUUUGUUUGUGAUGCACAUAGCUCAAAAAGAAUAUGGCCUAGAAUAAUGAAUCCUUUUCAUAUAAUGUUUGUUGAGGCUAUACCCUCAAACUGAGACUACAAACAAUUGAAUUAUUGCCCCUUAUUUGUGACAAAUGUACCAAUGGGGGGCACACCCUGUGUCCUACAGACACAUUCUAGUUUCAUAUUACAUAUUAGCUGAUUACAUAAUUAUAGAUGAUAAAGUUGAUAUAAACAUUAUGUGUUGGCAAUGAUAACAAAGCUUAAAGUAUUUUGUAUGUGUUAUUUUCAGUUUUACUGAAGUCAGUUCCCUUCUAACACUCAGUUGAGUUACUAGUUAGGCCAUCAACUACUGCCGAAGAAAGAAUGUUGUAAUCUCAAUCACUUUAUUUAUUGAGUUUAAUCAAAUAAACAAGCGUCAGUUCUAGGAUUCUACUUCUUCAGAGUUGUAGGGGGUAAACUGGUUUCAGGUUGUCUGUCUGUCUGUCUGUCUAUCUGUCCCUCUGUCUUUGCGCACCAUCUCUCCUCAUCCUCUUUACACAAUUUUAUGAAACUUCUUACAAGUUAUCAGUAGCAACAGGAGCUCUACAUUGGGCAUGUUAUGUUCUUUCAGAAAAAAGCAGAGUUACGGGAUUUUUUUUGUUUCUAUACUAAUAUAGAUAUAUAUAGACACAGUCUUGUGCGCACCAUUUCCCCUUAUCCCCUUGAAACAAUUUAAUGAAACUCCACACAAGUGAUCAGUAACAACAGCAGUUGUGCAUGGGAUAUGUUAUAUUCUUUCAGAGAAAAUGUAGAGUAACGGGCCUUUAUUCAUUUUACAUUUUAUUUAAUCCAGUAGUUUGAAUGAAAAUAAAAGGCAAAUCAAUAUACUGCUUAGUAAAGAAAUAAAAUAUAAUAUGUAAAUCUGCGAUAUAUAUAUUCAUAAAGUGCUACUAUUAUACCAUAAUGAUAAGUAAAUACUAUAUCUGACAAAAUUGUCAAUAUACUUUAUGCACUUUUUUAGGUCUCUGUUCAUCUUUAAAACCAAGCAUUAAGAUAACAGUUUCUGCAUGUUACCUCUUAAGGACAGAUUUAGUGAAAAUAUUAAAUUAUUGUAUGAUAGAAUGAUAAAAUGUAUACCUGUGUUCUAUUUCUAUUGUACUUUUGAUGUCUUGUGAUCAUUUAAUUUUUAAGCGUGAUGUUUAUUCAUAUUCUUAUUCUAGAUACAUCUAUUUGAGGCAACUGUGAAUAUUUAUACAAAUCAUAGUAUGUUUCUAAUACUGCAUUUUUACGUAUAAACUUCGUAAACUCUAUCAAAAGCAUGUACAUAAUGUAUAUCUGACAAAUAUGUUAGAGGUAUACAUUUACUUCGUGUGUUAUUACAUUUUGUUUUCAUAAGCAGAUUUUAAAACAUAAGUGAAAGAAUAACGUAGAACUGCAGUGGUAAUACGUUUUUGGUUUCCAAAUGAAAUGUUGCUUUUGACUUUACACUGCUAAUUUCAGUUAAAACACUACUUCCUUUUGAAAUGUUUUCGGUAAACUAUGUUACAAUUUAAGACCAAUUCUCUGUAAGAACCAAAAAAUCAAAGAAGGGGUCGGAAACUCAUAGAGUCAGAAUUACUUCAUAUUUGCACCCUUUUUAGUAUUCAAGCCAUAUAUGAAGAAUCAAGGGUGAAAAGAUAUGAAUCAGCUCUGGUAACCAUGGAAACGGGAACAUUAUACUUUUUGCGAAAAAUGGCAAUUUCUGAGAGUCAAAUUUUAAUAAAAUGUUACAAUUUUCUUUACACAUAGUGGUCUCUAUGUCUGAAAUAAAGCACUAAUUUUCAUAUUGUCCUGAAAUACAUACCUAAAGCAAUUAUUUAUAACAAAUAUUGUCUUUCAACAUUUUCACAGUUUUAGAAGCAACAGUUUUAUAAAUACCCCCUUUUAAGAUUUUACAUUAUCUUUAAAAAUUGGUCUGCAUGUAUAUUUUUCAAGGUCUAAUAGAAAAAAAGUGCACGCAUCUGAAUAUAAUACUUGUAUGGAUUCAGCAGAGCUAUGAUACCCAUUUCAAUUUAAGGAGGAAUUUUAGUGGGUCAUUCAUAUUUGAGCUUUUUACAGAAAUUUGAAAAUUGACAAAAAAUGCGUUUUCAGCAAACUCAUUUAUGCCUAAAUUACAAAAUAACCUGAAAUAAUAUUACAUUGCCAGAUACAGAAUUAUAGCAAAACAUAAGUAUUUCACGUAAAAUCAUUUUACAAAGUUAUACUGUCCAACACUUUUUCUAGAAAUUAAGGAGAAUGUUCCGUUACCAUGGCAACGUACAGGAAAAUUAUAAUUCAGAUCUUUUUAAAGCACAUUCUGUAUCAAUUUUGUAUUCUAUGAAACAAGAAAAGUUCAUCUGCAAACUGUCAAUGCAUUUAACGCACAUGAAACACAUUCUGGGUAGAAUUAAGAAGGAUAAAACCAUAAUGUAGGAUUUAUGUACCACAUGUUUUAUGUAUUCUAUAUCAAUGCUAAAAGCUAUGAUUUAUUUCAUUUAAAGUUAAUCAUAAUGAUGUUUGUAUUUCUUAAGAAUGACAGUUACCUUUUUUUAUCCUGCAAUGUCAGUUAUUAUCUUGCACGUUUUCUCCCAUGUUUAUGCAUGUAUCGUUUUGUUAUUUCAUAUUUCCAAGGAGUACAUUGCACUUUAAGUAAAUUGUCACCAUUUAUUAACUUUACUCCAUCCAUUUAUCUGUAUUUUGUGUGAAUGUUAACUUCCUAAAACUUUUCCUGAAAUUUAUGGAGGCUGCCAUGUUGUUUACUGCAGUGUGUAGAAAUACAUCCGUUUUCAUAUUCUAAUGCAGCAUAUUUGUAUCAUUUUGUGUAAUGUUCAUUGAUAGGAUGUUAGAAACAUAUUUUAAUCAUUUACUGUCACUGAAACUUUACAUUAUUGUUCAUUUUUGUGAAAGAAGUGCGUACUAUUUGUUAGGUCAUUCGCGGUGUAAGUUGGAACUUUCAAUCACCGGAAUUCUCCAUUUUAUUGCAUCAAUUACAUGUUAUCUACCCAAAUGUUACUCAUCAUUUGAUUUAAUACCAUAAAAGAUAUACUGUCUUUGUGUAUUAUUGCUCACAUUUUAUUGUAUGUUGUAUUAUUCGUAAUUUUACUUGGAGAUUCCGCUUAGCGUAUUUUAGGAUGAGAUUUCCUACCCAACUCUGAUUGGCUUAGAAAAUUCCUAUGUGCAAUCUGAUUGGAUGAGACAUCUCUCCUAAAUUCCUAAACGGGUCAAAGCUUAUAAAUAGAGCGAUCUGCCUCACUUUGGAAGAACAGUUGCGAAGGCGCCAUUAUUCAAAUCAUUAUUGGUCAAAACAACUAACGUACAAUUCCUAAAUCCAAAUUUUAGUAAGUAUUUAGGAAUUUUUCCUAAAUAUCGGUUAUCCAAUCUUAGGUUCAUUGAAUUAGUAUUAUAUAAAUACAAGUAUAGGUAUACUUGUAUACGAAAUGGUUUUUAGUACGAACUUUAGGAAAUAAAAUCCUAAACUUAGGAUUUUAUCUUAGUUUUUAGGAAUACGGUUUAAUAUAUUUACUUAGGCAACUGUCCCCAUUUGAGAGCCGGCGCACUUCAUGAAUAUGAUUAUUUUUAGGAUUUAGGAUUGCUAUUAAGUAUUUGUAUGUUAUAUAUAUAUCAGUUAUAAUACAUUAUUGCAUUUAAUACAGAGUGUUAAAACUGA